rnacentral:rRNA from 1 species
UGGGGAAUAUUGCGCAAUGGGGGAAACCCUGAUCCAGCAAUGCCGCGUGAGUGAAGAAGGCCUUAGGGUUGUAAAGCUCUUUCGCCCGCGAAGAUAAUGACGGUAGCGGGAGAAGAAGCCCCGGCUAACUCCGUGCCAGCAGCCGCGGUAAUACGGAGGGGGCUAGCGUUGUUCGGAAUUACUGGGCGUAAAGCGUACGUAGGCGGAUGCGCAAGUUGGGGGUGAAAUCCCGGGGCUUAACCUCGGAAUUGCCCUCAAAACUGCACGUCUUGAGACCGAGAGAGGUAAGGGGAAUUCCUAGUGUAGAGGUGAAAUUCGUAGAUAUUAGGAAGAACACCAGUGGCGAAGGCGCCUUACUGGCUCGGUACUGACGCUGAGGUACGAAAGCGUGGGGAGCAAACA